GAUGAACGCUAGCGGCAGGCUUAACACAUGCAAGUCGAGGGGUAUGCCGAUUUAUCGGCAGAGACCGGCGCACGGGUGCGUAACGCGUAUGCAAUCUACCUUUCACAGAGGGAUAGCCCAGAGAAAUUUGGAUUAAUACCUCAUAGUAUAGCAAUUUCGCAUGAAACCACUAUUAAAGUUCCAACGGUGAAAGAUGAGCAUGCGUCCCAUUAGCUAGAUGGUAAGGUAACGGCUUACCAUGGCUACGAUGGGUAGGGGUCCUGAGAGGGAGAUCCCCCCACACUGGUACUGAGACACGGACCAGACUCCUACGGGAGGCAGCAGUGAGGAAUAUUGGUCAAUGGACGCAAGUCUGAACCAGCCAUGCCGCGUGCAGGAUGACGGUCCUAUAGAUUGUAAACUGCUUUUGUACGAGAAGAAACACAUUACGNGUAAUGUCUUGACGGUAUCGUUAAGAAUAAG
rnacentral:rRNA from 1 species